UGCCUGAGUGGUUAAGGAGUUAGACUAAAAAUCUAACAGGGUUUUUUUGUGCAGGUUCAAAUCCUGC
rnacentral:tRNA from 1 species